rnacentral:rRNA from 1 species
UACGUAGGGUGCGAGCGUUGUCCGGAAUUACUGGGCGUAAAGAGCUCGUAGGUGGUUUGUCGCGUUGUUCGUGAAAACUCACAACUCAAUUGUGGGCGUGCGGGCGAUACGGGCAGACUGGAGUACUGCAGGUGAGACUGGAAUUCCUGGUGUAGCGGUGGAAUGCGCAGAUAUCAGGAGGAACACCGAUGGCGAAGGCAGGUCUCUGGGCCGAUACUGACGCUGAGAAGCGAAAGCGUGGGGAGCGAACAGG